rfam:TPA: Bos taurus chromosome 9, whole genome shotgun sequence.
UCCCUGGUGACUCAGAUGGUAAAGCGUCUGCUUACAGUGCAGGAGACCCAGGUUCAAUCCCUGGGUCAGGGAA